CCUACGGGUGGCUGCAGUGGGGAAUAUUGCACAAUGGGGGAAACCCUGAUGCAGCGACGCCGCGUGAGUGAGGAAGUAUUUCGGUAUGUAAAGCUCUAUCAGCAGGGAAGAAAAUGACGGUACCUGACCACGACUCCCCGGCCAAAUACGUGCCAGCAGCCGCGGUAAUACGCAGGGGGCAAGCGUUAUCCGGAUUUACGGGGUGUAAAGGGGGCGUAGACGGCUAGUCAAGUCAGCAGUGAAAGCCCAGGGCUCAAACUUGGGACUGCUUUUGAAACUGGGAAGCUAGAGUGCAGGAGAGGUAGGCGGAAUUCCUGGUGUAGCGGUGAAAUGCGUAGAUAUUAGGAGGAACACCGAUGGCGAAGGCAGCUUGCUGGACUGUAACUGACGUUGAGGCUCGAAAGCGUGGGGAGCAAACAGGAUUAGAUACCCCUGUAGUC
rnacentral:rRNA from 1 species